rnacentral:rRNA from 1 species
UUCCACAUGAUCGCAUGUGAUUGUGGGAAAGAUUCUAUCGGCGUGGGAUGGGGUCGCGUCCUAUCAGCUUGUUGGUGAGGUAACGGCUCACCAAGGCUUCGACGGGUAGCCGGCCUGAGAGGGCGACCGGCCACAUUGGGACUGAGAUACGGCCCAGACUCCUACGGGAGGCAGCAGUGGGGAAUAUUGCACAAUGGGCGCAAGCCUGAUGCAGCGACGCCGCGUGAGGGAUGGAGGCCUUCGGGUUGUAAACCUCUUUUGUUUGGGAGCAAGCCUUCGGGUGAGUGUACCUUUCGAAUAAGCGCCGGCUAACUACGUGCCAGCAGCCGCGGUAAUACGUAGGGCGCAAGCGUUAUCCGGAUUUAUUGGGCGUAAAGGGCUCGUAGGCGGCUCGUCGCGUCCGGUGUGAAAGUCCAUCGCUUAACGGUGGAUCUGCGCCGGGUACGGGCGGGCUGGAGUGCGGUAGGGGAGACUGGAA